UUUUCAGUGUAAUUUUGUAAUGUUGCAAUAUGAAUCCUGUUCAUUUAUUUAUUUAUGUUUAUAUUUGAAUAGGUCAAUAUGGUGAAAAUAAAAAAGAUCAGACCUUUCGUCACUGUGAAAAGUUACCCCUCAAAAGGAAAGUCAACGGUGUCGAGGAGGUUUUUGAAAGGGAGGACCCCUUUGCCCCCAAAGCCCACUGAGGUUGGUUGCUGCUCGUUUGCACCACCAGCUACUGGCAGGGACUUACAAGAGGAGCAUGAAGGUGGUACCAGCAGCAGCAGCCAGAAGAAGCUGGAUACCGUGGAGGCCUGGAAGAGGAAGGACACUUCUCGGUGUGAGUGCAGAGCUCUUCUGUCCUCCUGACACUGCAGCGUGUCCGUCAAGUUUCCCUCAACAGUGAGGAUGUUGAAAUCCGGCGAUGCAGUGAAACAUUCUUCUGAGCCGUCUGUGUCCAGACUGUUCAUGAAGCCUCUGCUGUAGUGCAUAUGCUUGGAAGUGUGAGGUUUGUGCUAUUCAAUACUUUUCUCCAUUUUGCAAAUGUCUAAACAAAAGGCAUUUUGUAUCUCUGACAGUGUAUUUUAAGUUUUCUAAAAACAAUAGUCCUAGAGUAGUACAGAAUAUAGUGUGUAUGUAAUGCUUACCUUAUGAUAAUGAUGCCAAAAUGCACUUUAAUGUCUUCACUCUGUGUGAAGCGGACACUCAUUCUUGUUUCAUAAUGUACUGUGCACUAAAAAGUUUGUAUUGUGAUCUUUCUAUUUAAGGAAGGUGAAUUCAACAGACUGUUCCUGUAGGCUUUAGGUGGCAUUGGACAAGGAAGGAUGGCCAUCAAUGUGACACGUCAUUUGCACGUCAAAUAAAACUGUUUGAUCAGCAAGGUAAAUAAUACAGUACAUCAGAAACAGUCACAUCCACCCUGCACAAAAAGGAAAGUUGUUAAAAACUACAGCAUUUAACAGCUAUUCUGUCAUGAAUUGUAGGAAGGACUCAUGAUGUUUGGAUGCAGUUCUGCCACAGUGAGAUGGAAGUUGCGACACUUUGGCCAGCCACAGUGAAGCAACCUCAAAGUGCCAUUUCCCUGAAGCUGAUGGACGUGAUCUGCCGCUUACAGCUGGAAUGUGGUGCAUCACUGAAGGGUUUAUGUGCUGCAAUUCAGGGUUCCUCAGGUCCCUCCAAGUGCCAAGACCUUUAUGGAAUACUCAUCAGUGAGUCCUUUGAGGAAUACAGACACUUCAGAUACCACUGCACCAUCUUGGACCUGAUACAACAGAUGGGACACACUGUCCUCUCUGUCCACAGAAUGAUGGAUGUCUGGUUCUUGCUGCGGAUGGACUAUUUGGACUUCCAAGGAAGAAAUCGUCUGGAAGUAGUCUUGAAAGACCGAAGCACUUCAACCGAUUCUUUUGCUCUCAAGAUCUUGUUGAUGCUUUUAUUGGAGAGAACAACAUUCUUCUGA
rnacentral:lncRNA from 15 species